GACGAACGCUGGCGGCGUGCUUAACACAUGCAAGUCGAACGGUCAACCUCUUCGGUUGUGAGCUGUGCCGAACGGGUGCGUAACACGUGGACAACCUGCCCCCGUCUCUGGGAUAACUCCAAGAAAUUGGGACUAAUACCGGAUGUUCACCGCUUCUCGCGCGGGUGGUUGUGGAAUGGAUUGCCGGCUGGGUAGGGGCCCGCGGCUUAGCAGCUUGUUGGGGGGGUAGUGGCCUACCAAGGCGACGACGGGUAGCCGGCCUGAGAGGGUGACCGGCCACAUGGGGACUGAGACACGGCCCAGACUCCUACGGGAGGCAGCAGUGGGGAAUAUUGCGCAAUGGGCGGAAGCCUGACGCAGCGACGCCGCGUGGGGGAUGACGGCCUUCGGGUUGUAAACCGCUUUCAGCUGGGACGAAGCGGGAGUGACGGUACCUGGUGAAGAAGCACCGGCUAACUACGUG
rnacentral:rRNA from 1 species